rnacentral:rRNA from 1 species
CCAAAGCGGAGGAAAAGAAACCAACAGGGAUUGCCCCAGUAACGGCGAGUGAAGCGGCAACAGCUCAAAUUUGAAAUCUGGCCCCCAGGGCCCGAGUUGUAAUUUGCAGAGGAUGCUUUUGGCGCGGUGCCUUCCGAGUUCCCUGGAACGGGACGCCAUAGAGGGUGAGAGCCCCGUCUGGUCGGACGCCUAGCCUGUGUAAAGCUCCUUCGACGAGUCGAGUAGUUUGGGAAUGCUGCUCUAAAUGGGAGGUAUAUGUCUUCUAAAGCUAAAUACCGGCCAGAGACCGAUAGCGCACAAGUAGAGUGAUCGAAAGAUGAAAAGCACUUUGAAAAGAGGGUUAAAUAGUACGUGAAAUUGUUGAAAGGGAAGCGCUUGUGACCAGACUUGGGCCCGGUGGAUCAUCCAGCGUUCUCGCUGGUGCACUCCGCCGGGUUCAGGCCAGCAUCAGUUCGCCGCGGGGGAAAAAGGCUUCGGGAACGUGGCUCCUACGGGAGUGUUAUAGCCCGUUGCAUAAUACCCUGGGGCGGACUGAGUUCGCGCUCCGCAAGGAUGCUGGCGUAAUGGUCAUCAGCGACCCGUCUUG